UGUUGCCAGAGGAAAUGGGAAAUGAUUCCAGCCUUGCUUUUCUAUUUACCACUAAAGUUAGGGAGGAGAGUCCGCAAAGUCCUGGAGUCUAGGACCUAACUGGUGGUGAGGUGUGUAUUGUAGGAAAUUAUGGCUCAGAUUAUAGUAUGUUAAAAAAAAAAAAAAAAGAGCUUAAAUACGAGGUAAUGUUUUCAGGAGCUGAGGAGUCACAAAGUGAAAAGGGAUUUUAUUGCCCUCCAAAGGAAAUAGACAGAUAAUCAGAUGGAAAUGUCCAGGUAAAUAUGGAAUGUAACUUGGGUGAAGUUAGAGCUUCAGAUUAGAGAUAUCUGGAAGGGAGUUAUUAAAGGUAGGAAAAAAGUAGAAUUUGUUAAGCAGGAGAUCAGAAGAG